rfam:Oryza punctata chromosome 3, whole genome shotgun sequence.
AAUAAGUGCAGUUUUGCACUGUUCAUGUAACGUUUGAUCGUUCGUCUUAUUUGAAAAAAAUUUAUGAUUAGUAUUUUUGUUGUUAUUAGAUGAUAAAAUAUGAAUAGAACUUUAUGUGUAACUAUUUUUUUAGUUUUUCUAUAAAAUUUUUAAAUAAGACGGACGGUCAACGUAUAUGGAAACCUACGGCUGCAUUUAUU